rnacentral:lncRNA from 1 species
GCAAAACAAAAGAACUGUGUGAGUGCAAGUGGGAGACUUACCUUGCUGUCGUAAUACUUUUCCCGCUUGUCAGUCUGGAUGGAGCGGAUGACGUUGCCGGCAUACUCAAUCACCAUCUCACCUGCAUCAAUGUUUCUCUUACAGAAAAGACCCCGGCCAUGGAUGGGAGACCUAGGACAAAGAUGGAAAAGAGUGCUUGGCACCAGACAGCUGCUCAAUGAGGAACACAACUGCAU